rnacentral:rRNA from 1 species
CUACGGGAGGCAGCAGUGAGGAAUAUUGGUCAAUGGGCGAGAGCCUGAACCAGCCAAGUCGCGUGAAGGAAGACGGCCCUACGGGUUGUAAACUUCUUUUGUAGGGGGAUAAAAAAGAGUACGUGUACUCUCUUGUAGGUACCCUACGAUAAGAUCAUCCCC